AAGGUUUCCGUAGGUGAACCUGCGGAAGGAUCAUUAUUGAAUGAACUUGGUGUGGUUGUCGCUGGCCCUCUUGGGGGCAUGUGCACACCUACCAUCCUCAUCUCUCCACCUGUGCACCUCUUGUAGAUUUGGAAUUGAUUAUCCGAGGCAACUCGGUCGUGAGGACUGCUAGCACUUWGCUGGCUUUCUUUGCAAUUCCAGGUCUAUGUUUUUCAUAUACCCCAUUGUAUGUAACAGAAUGUAUCAUUGGGCCCUUGUGCCUAUAAACCUUAUACAACUUUCAGCAACGGAUCUCUUGGCUCUCGCAUCGAUGAAGAACGCAGCGAAAUGCGAUAAGUAAUGUGAAUUGCAGAAUUCAGUGAAUCAUCGAAUCUUUGAACGCACCUUGCGCUCCUUGGUAUUCCGAGGAGCAUGCCUGUUUGAGUGUCAUUAAAUUCUCAACCAUUAUCAACUUUUGCUGAUAAUGGCUUGGAUGUGGGGGUCUAUUUUGCUGGCUUCUCAGAUAGUCAGCUCCCCUUAAAUGCAUUAGCCGGUGCCCCGCGUGGACUGUCUAUUGGUGUGAUAAUUAUCUACGCUAUAGACAUCUGCAAUUAUAUGGGUUUGCGCUGCUUCUAACAGUCUGUUGAUUCAGACAAUACAUGACAAUUUGACCUCAAAUCAGGUAGGACUACCCGCUGAACUUAA
rnacentral:rRNA from 1 species